UACGAAGGGGGCUAGCGUUGUUCGGAAUCACUGGGCGUAAAGCGCGCGUAGGCGGAUUGUUAAGUCGGGGGUGAAAUCCUGAGGCUCAACCUCAGAACUGCCUUCGAUACUGGCAAUCUCGAGUCCGGAAGAGGUUGGUGGAACAGCUAGUGUAGAGGUGAAAUGCGCAGAUAUCAGGAAGAACACCCGUGGCUAAGGCGGCUCUCUAGUACGGUACUGACGCUGAGACGCGAAAGCGUGGGGAGCGAACAGG
rnacentral:rRNA from 1 species